AGUGAACGCUGGCGGUAGGCCUAACACAUGCAAGUCGAACGGCAGCACAGUAAGAGCUUGCUCUUACGGGUGGCGAGUGGCGGACGGGUGAGGAAUACAUCGGAAUCUACUUUUUCGUGGGGGAUAACGUAGGGAAACUUACGCUAAUACCGCAUACGACCUACGGGUGAAAGCAGGGGAUCUUCGGACCUUGCGCGAUUGAAUGAGCCGAUGUCGGAUUAGCUAGUUGGCGGGGUAAAGGCCCACCAAGGCGACGAUCCGUAGCUGGUCUGAGAGGGUGAUCAGCCACACUGGAACUGAGACACGGUCCAGACUCCUACGGGAGGCAGCAGUGGGGAAUAUUGGACAAUGGGCGCAAGCCUGAUCCAGCCAUACCGAGUGGGUGAAGAAGGCCUUCGGGUUGUAAAGCCCUUUUGUUGGGAAAGAAAAGCAGCAGGUUAAUACCCCGCUGUUCUGACGGUACCCAAAGAAUAAGCACCGGCUAACUUCGUG
rnacentral:rRNA from 1 species